GACGAAGCAUGCAAACGUUAUUCGGAAUCACUGGGCGUAAAGCGUGUGUAGGCGGCUUUGCAAGUCGGAUGUGAAAGCCCCGGGCUCAACCCGGGAAGUGCACUCGAUACUGCAGGGCUCGAGUAUCGGAGAGGUUGGUGGAAUUCUCGGUGUAGAGGUGAAAUUCGUAGAUAUCGAGAGGAACACCGGCGGCGAAGGCGGCCAACUGAACGAUCACUGACGCUGAGACACGAAAGCGUGGGGAGCAAACAGG
rnacentral:rRNA from 1 species